UUGUUACAAUUUUAGGCUUGAAACGGUACAGAUUUGGCACUUUUUAACCACGUCCCUUCCCUACAAAUCCAUAAACGUCCGCUACGUAAGGUACGUAAAGGUACGCGUUUACUCUAGAGUUAAACAAUCGCGAGUUGCUCUCGAGGGUGUUUCUCGCAAGUGGAUACCGCUUUGAAAGCGACUCUCAUUUUCUAUCCUAUCUGAUAGUGACUCGGAUAGUCGUGUUUCUCAACGCAGUGUUCACUUACGAGAAAUACUCUCGAGAGCACCUCGCGAUAGUUUUACUCUUGAGUGGACGCGUACCUCGACGAUUACCCUCUCGGUCCACCUUAGAUAGGAGAGAGGCGGAAAGCAAUGAGCGAGCGUGCGCUCGCGUGGCCGUGUGUGGGUUGAGAAACCGGAGUUAUUUAUGAAGUGUACCACGGGGAGAGGCACGACCGUGGGACCGCCUAUCUGAUGCUCUUAUUUCGUUGUUUGCUCCCAAGCGCGUAAUACCGAGCUAGGAAAGUGCGACACGUGCGCUUGCUGCCCGUGCGUCGCGCGUCUUCCGCUCCGCCGUGUGUUCCACCGACACGCCACGUGGGUGAGCGUGUAGAAACCCGAUGGAGAGUUAGACUCUCCAGUUAGGUAUAGUCGUGUCGAGGGAAUCGUCGCGAACAAUGUGAGCCUGUUCCAGGUUCGGGUGUUCCUAAGCGACCCCGAGAUUCCGACGUGACACUGACCAGCUUCGUGAUGAAUUUCAACGUUGCCUUCGCUUCGGACUCUGUUUCUCGUGCCAUUAAUGAGCCAGUCGAUUCUGUGUGUGAGUGCGCUUUUAGUUCGCUUUGGGAAUCGGAGGUGGAGAGGUUGAUGGAUUUAGUGGUUUCUAGUGGUAAAUUUUAAAAACUAUGGUAUCUCGUUAUAACCAGUAGAUUACGGAUUGUUAUGCAUUUAUGCCAAAUUUAAAAAUUCAGAAAUGUAUAGAAUGUACAUAAUAUGUAAAAAUAUAUAAAAUAUGCAAAGUAUAAGAAGAUAUUUCUACUUAAGUUCCAUUUUUCAUUGUAUUCAUAAAAAUGUAAGUUUGUACAAAAAUUCGUAGUCUAAUAUUAGUUCACCGAUAAAAUUUUAAUUGCAGAGGCGUGGUUCUAUCUGGGUUAGAGUUUGAGCACAUAUUUCCAGUAAUUUGGCGGUGUUUGAAGUUGUGAGAAAUUUUGUAAGCUCCGAAAAAUUGUUCAGUUUCAUAUUAAACAUUUCCUCGAAACGUCACAAAUUCUUUUUCUUUGUUAAAAUGAGAACGAGAUUGAAAUACAAAGAUUUGAGGAUCGUAGCUAGGUUAAAAUUCUUCGACCAAACAAGGAAAAAAAUUCACGACUAACUCGUCAUCGUGCCAUCAAACGUUCAUCCGUUCUCCAUAAUUACCCAUAAUUACUCAUCUUAGAACGUGACGUCUGCAUUAAGCUGAUGUCAAUGGUAAUUAAAAGUCUUUGGAAGCGAGGCUAUCAAUAAGACGAUUAUUCAUCGGCCUUCGAAAGCGGUUACUUAUCCGAAACAAUUCACAGUAUACUACACAGAAACAAGAAAUUCGAGCUCUGUUCGAUUUUGAAAUCGCGUGUAUCAUGCCACUAGUAAGAUACACAGAGAUGAACACAC